AGUCUGUUGGCAACCAAUUAAAGAUUUAAUUAGGCUCGAUGGCAACUAGAAGUUGUUCGUCCUAACAUAAGAAACGUUUUGGAAUAAACAAACUUCUGUGGCGUUUCAGAAAAAACAAAGUUAAAUGGACUAGUUUCAGUUUCAAAUGUUCAGGCUUACUUAAAUCCCUCAAUAUUCGUUAAUAUAGUGACUAACGUGUCUCUCCCAAUUAGUAUCUUUUGUUAAAUAGUUCAAGCAAACUGAAAAUAUUGUCAUUGGUGUUACAGUGAACCUUUCUGACGGGACUCUGAAGACAGAUUUGAGUUGUUUUUCUACAGUUUAAUCAUUUAGUAAAGGACUUUAAUGUUCUUGUCUCAUUGUAUUACUGCUUCAACGGAAUAACCUAUUGAAUAUUGUUUAUUUCAGAUACAACUGAACUGUAUGUACUUCUGUUAAUAAAAACCAUUACUCCGUAGCCAUUAUGGUUCUUGACGAGCUGAGAUUUAUUGGGUGGUUUUGACGUAUAUGAGGCCCGUUUAGUGAUUUGUCUUUCCAACUAGGUAAGACUAAAAUUGGAGGCGCACCCAUUGGCUCUAGUGCUCAAUAUUACUUACAUUUCUUUGCAUCAGACAUGUGGGGAUGUUAAUAUUUUCCCAACCUUAUGUUGUCUUUAUUCUUAAAAUAUGUUUAGAGCUUUGUUCCAAUACUUUUAGUGAUCAAAUAAGAUGGAUCUAUACCUUAGCUGUGUCCACUACUACGUCAUUGGAUUCUCCAGGGGUACUCCAGAGAUGUAGAAACCCAGCUGAAAAUCCAUAGGAUAAUCGCACCAGGUUUCCAGGUUUGUAGAAAUACUUUAUACACAAGACAUUACAUCAGGUGUGUCUUUAACAUACUUCGAAUCCACCUGGAAGAAAAUCAGGUAUUUGUGAGUCGUUAAAGUAAAGCGUGCAUGCAAAAUUUCAGCAUUUCCUAAAUACUAGCUGUGAAUAGCAUUAACUUGCGGUGAUCAUGUAACAGAGAAAAAGUGGCAAUUAGAACAUACUCUGUAGUUCAAUGUGUGUGACGCUGUGACUGGUGAUUGUGGUCUAUGUAGUUAUGUGUUAAUCCAAUAUUUUAGCCGAUUUCCAGUUUAAGGUCAAACCGGAGAAUGGAGCUUAUAGUUCCUGUAUACUUGAUGCAUUAGUUCCAGAUAUUAAUGGCAUCAAAUGCAAAGGAGAUCAGCAUUUAUUAAGCAAGAGGGUAUGCAAUGGAAGGAUUUAAAUAAAAUCUCACUUCCAAGUGCGGCCACUUGAUGAACCUCUUCUGUGGCUGUGAAUCCAGUUGCUUGGAAAAAUGGAAGAACUCCAGUCAGUUUGUCUAGCAGAGUUUGCAUAUGAACGCAUAUGCUAGAUUCCUGUGGAAGAUGCCUAUGCCUAGGCAAGAUGCCUUUGGCCUGGUGCCAAGAUGAUGCCAUGAUAAUAGUACCUGGAGGGCGGCUUCAUCUGAUCCUUCGACUGCAGUCGAAUCAAAUGCAAACAGCGAUUUGAAUCAUUGUGCAUGUGCAUAUGAGCAGGAAUGAACCUGGUAUUGAAUGUCUGAUAUGAAUUCAACAAUAAAAAAUAUUAACUGGAUAA